rnacentral:rRNA from 1 species
AGUGAACGCUGGCGGUAGGCCUAACACAUGCAAGUCGAACGGCAGCACAGUAAGAGCUUGCUCUUACGGGUGGCGAGUGGCGGACAGGUGAGGAGUACAUCGGAAUCUACUUUUUCGUGGGGGAUAACGUAGGGAAACUUACGCUAAUACCGCAUACGACCUACGGGUGAAAGCAGGGGAUCUUCGGACCUUGCGCGAUUGAAUGAGCCGAUGUCGGAUUAGCUAGUUGGCGGGGUAAAGGCCCACCAAGGCGACGAUCCGUAGCUGGUCUGAGAGGAUGAUCAGCCACACUGGAACUGAGACACGGUCCAGACUCCUACGGGAGGCAGCAGUGGGGAAUAUUGGACAAUGGGCGCAAGCCUGAUCCAGCCAUACCGCGUGGGUGAAGAAGGCCUUCGGGUUGUAAAGCCCUUUUGUUGGGAAAGAAAAGCAGCAGGUUAAUACCCCGCUGUUCUGACGGUACCCAAAGAAUAAGCACCGGCUAACUUCGUG